CUGGUGGCGAGUGGCGAACGGGUGAGUAAUAUAUCGGAACGUGCCCUGGAGUGGGGGAUAACUAGUCGAAAGACUAGCUAAUACCGCAUACGAUCUACGGAUGAAAGUGGGGGAUCGCAAGACCUCAUGCACGUGGAGCGGCCGAUAUCUGAUUAGCUAGUUGGUGGGGUAAAAGCCUACCAAGGCAUCGAUCAGUAGCUGGUCUGAGAGGACGACCAGCCACACUGGGACUGAGACACGGCCCAGACUCCUACGGGAGGCAGCAGUGGGGAAUUUUGGACAAUGGGGGCAACCCUGAUCCAGCAAUGCCGCGUGAGUGAAGAAGGCCUUCGGGUUGUAAAGCUCUUUUGUCAGGGAAGAAACGGUCUGGGCUAAUACCCUGGGCUAAUGACGGUACCUGAAGAAUAAGCACCGGCUAACUACGUGCCAGCAGCCGCGGUAAUACGUAGGGUGCAAGCGUUAAUCGGAAUUACUGGGCGUAAAGCGUGCGCAGGCGGUUGUGCAAGACAGAUGUGAAAUCCCCGGGCUUAACCUGGGAAUUGCAUUUGUGACUGCACGGCUAGAGUGUGUCAGAGGGGGGUAGAAUUCCACGUGUAGCAGUGAAAUGCGUAGAGAUGUGGAGGAAUACCGAUGGCGAAGGCAGCCCUCUGGGAUAACACUGACGCCCAUGCACGA
rnacentral:rRNA from 1 species